rnacentral:rRNA from 1 species
UACGUAGGGCGCAAGCGUUAUCCGGAAUUAUUGGGCGUAAAGAGCUCGUAGGCGGUUUGUCGCGUCUGCCGUGAAAGUCCGGGGCUCAACUCCGGAUCUGCGGUGGGUACGGGCAGACUAGAGUGAUGUAGGGGAGACUGGAAUUCCUGGUGUAGCGGUGAAAUGCGCAGAUAUCGAGAGGAACACCUGCGGCGAAGGCGGGUAGCUGGGCCGACACUGACGCUGAGGAGCGAAAGCCAGGGGAGCAAACGGG